GAUGAAGAACGUAGCGAAAUGCGAUACGUAAUGUGAAUUGCAGAAUUCAGUGAAUCAUCGAGUCUUUGAACGCACAUUGCGCCCCCUGGUAUUCCGGGGGGCAUGCCUGUCCGCGCGUCAUUGCUGCCCUCAAGCACGGCUUGUGUGCUGGGCCUCCGUCCUCCUCCCGGGGGACGGGCCCGAAAGGCAGCGGCGGCACCGCGUCCGGUCCUCGAGCGUAUGGGGCUUCGUCACCCGCUCUUGUAGGCCCGGCCGGCGCUUGCCGACACAUCAAUCUUUUUUCCAGGUUGACCUCGGAUCAGGUAGGGAUACCCGCUGAACUUAAGCAUAUCAAUAAGCGGAGGA
rnacentral:misc_RNA from 1 species